UACGUAGGGCGCAAGCGUUGUCCGGAAUUAUUGGGCGUAAAGAGCUCGUAGGCGGCCUGUUGCGUCCGCUGUGAAAUCCCGGGGCUCAACCCCGGGCCUGCAGUGGAUACGGGCUGGCUGGAGGCAGGCAGGGGAGAACGGAAUUCCUGGUGUAGCGGUGAAAUGCGCAGAUAUCAGGAGGAACACCGGUGGCGAAGGCGGUUCUCUGGGCCUGUUCUGACGCUGAGGAGCGAAAGCUAGGGGAGCAAACAGG
rnacentral:rRNA from 1 species